CUCUCUCUCUCUCUCUCUCUCUGCUUCCUGGUGCCAUGUCCUGAGCUGCUUUCCCCUACUACACACUUCCACCAUGAUGUUCUGCCUCCAGCCCUGAGGAAUGGAGUAGAACUUCUGUGGAUUGGGAUCUUUGAAAAUGCGGGCAUCCCGUGGAGAAUCUGCUGCAUGUGACACCAGAACAGUGCCUGUGCCGCCCGCUGGAUGACAGUGCUGUCCUCUGAAGUGGGAUCACAGGGAAGCAGCUGGAACAGGACAGAGUGUGGGGGACUCAGACGUUCAGGGGCGCUCCUGCCAGGCAAAGAUCUCCGGUGAUGGUGAUGAUUUCCAUAAUCUUGUCACCUUAAUUGCUGCUGUCACUGCAAGAAUCUGACAGCUAUCUAGGACUGCGGCUUUUCUAUUGUGGCUCAUGAUUUCUCAGUCACACGGAGGUGACACCUGAGAAGGGACAACCAGCAGCUUCCUGCUUGUACCUGCCCAACUCCGGAGUCCACUGAGGGCCGAAGGAAACAAGUACCACAAUCAGAAGCCAGACCCAUGACCCAAAAGAGCUCCCUCUUGUGACAAGCUGCUGGCUCCCGGCUCUUAUGGACACCCUCAGCCCCAUCUGAUACCUCUGCAGCUACUGAUCUGUUUCUUCUGUGCAGUUUGCCAUUUGGUGGAAGGUGGAGAGGCACAGAGAGAAGAAACAAGUUUGAUUUUUUAGUUUGAUUUUUUUAACUCAGAAUCACUGAGUGAAUUUCAAAUGUUCUCUUUACAAAAACAUGUUAAAUAUUUAAGGUGAUGGAUUUGUUAAUUAUCUUGACUUAAUCACCCAACGUUGUAUUUAAAAGUCCUAGCACCUCUUUGUACCCCCUUCAGUAUAUAUAGAACUAUUAUUUGUCAAUAUGUAACUUUACAAAGAAUAGCAUAUAUGAAUGGGAUUGUAUCACAUGUAACCUUGUAAGAUUGACUUGUUUUGCUAAACAUAUUGUCUUGAGAUCCCCUGGGAUACUGUGUGCAUCAGUCUGAGUGGACCAGAAUAUGUAUCACCAUUCAUCUGUUCAAGGAAAUGUGGAUUGUUUUCUUUUUUUUUUUGCUAUUAAGAAUAAAGCUGCUAUGAACAGUCAUGCACAGAUUGAGAUUCUCUGGCAUACAUCAUUUUAAAAUCCCCACUUUUAAAAUACAGCAUCCUGUUGUAAGCAUUUCUCCGUGUCAUUAUUUAUUCUCUGAAAGCUGUUUUAAUGACUGUAUAAUAUUCUAACCAUAUGGAAGUAACUCAAUUAUUUAACCACAUCCCUAUAAGUUCAUGUUUCCUUGAAGCUUAUCAGCAGCAUACCAGAUGUGCUUUAGAAUUUUCUUCUCCUUCUCAUAGCAAAUCUUUUAAAAAAAUGUGUGCACUUUCUCUGCAUUUUGAAUAUAAUGUUCCAUUUCAUUUAUGAUUCGAAG